UCUACAACUCACUGAGGCCAAGGAGGGAUGAUGCAGAAGACAAAUAUUUCAAAGAUGCAAAACAAUUGCAAGAUUACGUGGAGAAUUUUUUGAAAGCUUGCCUUGAAAGAGACGCUCAAUCACAACCCUUUUUCAAAUUAAUAAACUCACAAAACACAAGUUACGACUUUGAGUAAGUCAACAAUGCUCCACAACAAGAAAGCGAUUCUCUGGAUUGUGGCCUCUUUGUCUGCUAUAUAAUGAAACAAUAUAGCAAGCAUGAACCUAUCAGCUCCAAAUUGUCCACACAAGAGAUAAGGUUGCUGAGGGCAGAACUCAUAGAAAGAUUUGUGACCGAAGUUGGCCGGUCAUAGAUUG